CCCUUAGAUGUUCUGGGCCGCACACGCGCUACACUGAAGGAGGCAGCGUGUACUCCUGGAUCGAAAGAUUUGGGUAACCCGCGAAUCUCCUUCGUGCUAGGGAUUGAGGUUUGCAAUUAUCCUUCAUGAACGAGGAAUUCCCAGUAAGCGCAAGUCAUCAACUUGCAUUGAUUACGUCCCUGCCCUUUGUACACACCGCCCGUCGCUACUACCGAUUGAAUGGCUUAGUGAGUUGUCCGGAUUGUAGUCUCUCAUUGGGUUACCUCUGGGAGACUUGCGAGAAGGAUAUCAAACUUGGUCAUUUAGAGGAAGUAAAAGUCGUAACA
rnacentral:rRNA from 1 species